ACGAACGCUGGCGGCGUGCUUAACACAUGCACGUCGAACGGAAAGGCCCUGCUUUUGUGGGGUGCUCGAGUGGCGAACGGGUGAGUAACACGUGAGUAACCUGCCCUUGACUUUGGGAUAACUUCAGGAAACUGGGGCUAAUACCGGAUAGGAGCUCCUGCUGCAUGGUGGGGGUUGGAAAGUUUCGGCGGUUGGGGAUGGACUCGCGGCUUAUCAGCUUGUUGGUGGGGUAGUGGCUUACCAAGGCUUUGACGGGUAGCCGGCCUGAGAGGGUGACCGGUCACAUUGGGACUGAGAUACGGCCCAGACUCCUACGGGAGGCAGCAGUGGGGAAUAUUGCACAAUGGGCGGAAGCCUGAUGCAGCAACGCCGCGUGCGGGAUGACGGCCUUCGGGUUGUAAACCGCUUUCGCCUGUGACGAAGCGUGAGUGACGGUAAUGGGUAAAGAAGCACCGGCUAACUACGUG
rnacentral:rRNA from 1 species